UAGGGGGCAAGCGUUAUCCGGAUUUACUGGGUGUAAAGGGAGCGUAGGUGGCAGGGCAAGUCAGAUGUGAAAACCCGGGGCUCAACCCCGGGAGUGCAUUUGAAACUGUCCGGCUGGAGUGCAGGAGAGGUAAGCGGAAUUCCUAGUGUAGCGGUGAAAUGCGUAGAUAUUAGGAGGAACAUCAGUGGCGAAGGCGGCUUACUGGACUGUAACUGACGUUGAGGCUCGAAAGCGUGGGGAGCAA
rnacentral:rRNA from 1 species